rnacentral:rRNA from 1 species
AUGCAUCACAUUUCAGGCUGCCAUGUGCAGAAUAAGGCAUACACUAGUGUGGUAGUGUCUCUAAGAACCAAAGCAUCUGCUGAGUUAAAAAGCGCCUUGUCCAGUGCUAUGCAGACAGAGAGCAGUAGUAACUCGGGUCUUGUUCCCAGAUAUGAGAUGAAAAGGAAAGAAAGCAUACCAGCUAGGCUGUCUAGUGAUGUUGACCAUGACAUGUAUAAUAGGUCCCUAUUAGAAAACGUGGGAGUUUGGAGGUCUGUUGUGGUACCUAAAGGGGCAAAACCCCUUGAUUCUUUGUCCGCUAAAACAUUUACUGGCACAAGCCCAUUGUACAAAGACAACCUAUUCUGGAACUUCUCAGUGCCAUCGCUCUGCUAG